rnacentral:rRNA from 1 species
UGGGGAAUAUUGCACAAUGGGCGCAAGCCUGAUGCAGCCAUGCCGCGUGUAUGAAGAAGGCCUUCGGGUUGUAAAGUACUUUCAGCGAGGAGGAAGGCAUUAUGGUUAGUAAACCUAGUGAUUGACGUUACUCGCAGAAGAAGCACCGGCUAACUCCGUGCCAGCAGCCGCGGUAAUACGGAGGGUGCAAGCGUUAAUCGGAAUUACUGGGCGUAAAGCGCACGCAGGCGGUCUGUCAAGUCGGAUGUGAAAUCCCCGGGCUCAACCUGGGAACUGCAUCGAAACUGACAGGCUAGAGUCUUGUAGAGGGGGUAGAAUUCCAGGUGUAGCGGUGAAAUUGCGUAGAGAUCUGGAGGAAUACCGGUGGCGAAGGCGGCCCCCUGACAAAGACUGACGCUCAGGUGCGAAAGCGUGGGAGCAAACA